rnacentral:rRNA from 1 species
GGCUCAGGAUGAACGCUAGCUACAGGCUUAACACAUGCAAGUCGUGGGGCAGCAUGGAGGUUGCUGCAAUCUCUGAUGGCGACCGGCGCACGGGUGAGUAACGCGUAUCCAACCUGGCCCUUAGUAGGGGAUAGCCCGGCGAAAGUCGGAUUAAUACCCUAUGUUCUUCAUGGAUGGCAUCUGAUAUGAAGCAAAGGCUUGCCGCUAAGGGAUGGGGAUGCGUCUGAUUAGCUUGUCGGCGGGUAACGGCCCACCGAGGCGACGAUCAGUAGGGGUUCUGAGAGGAAGGUCCCCCACAUUGGUACUGAGACACGGACCAAACUCCUACGGGAGGCAGCAGUGAGGAAUAUUGGUCAAUGGGCGAGAGCCUGAACCAGCCAAGUAGCGUGCAAGGACGACUGCCCUAUGGGUUGUAAACUGCUUUUAUGCGGGAAUAAAGUCAGGUACGUGUACCUGUUUGUAUGUACCGCAUGAAUAAGGACCGGCUAAUUCCGUGCCAGCAGCUGC